AAAAUUCGACCAAAAAAAAAAAAAAUGGGUUGCCAACACAAAAAAAAAUCAGGUGACCUCACAUUUGUGGGAUGAUGCCAUCAUUUUGGUAAGUAACUUUUGUUGUUCUAUGUCACCAUAGUCCAGUUAUUUUGGGGUACUGGGGAGACUUUCUGGUUUUGACUGAGACAAGAUAAUGCAUUAACAUAUUUAUGGAAGCUAUUUAUUCAACAGUUUUACCAUCUUAAAGAUCAAAAUCUUGAAUACAGCUAUUCCUUGUGAUGUUCCAAAAGUCUGCUUCUACACUAAAUAUUUCUUGUUGACAUGCAUUUGUGUCCCAGAUAGAGAAGCUGCACGCAGUUGGCUGGAAGCCUUUGCUCCUGGUGGAAUAUCCACACAAGAAGGCCAAAAUGAUCUUACCUAAAGAUGAAUUGUUGAGCAAAGGUGCACAGAGAUGUGUGCAGAACAUUUAUGAAAUUUUUAAAAUGAUGGUCGAAGUGAAUCCAGAACAGGCAACAGACAGUAGCCAUGAGCCUGAGGAGGCUACUGUCAUUCUAAAUGUUGAAAUAACG